AUUGAACGCUGGCGGCAUGCCUUACACAUGCAAGUCGAACGGCAGCACGGGUGCUUGCACCUGGUGGCGAGUGGCGAACGGGUGAGUAAUACAUCGGAACGUACCUUAUCGUGGGGGAUAACGCAGCGAAAGCUGUGCUAAUACCGCAUACGCCCUGAGGGGGAAAGCGGGGGAUCGCAAGGCCUCGCGCGAUUAGAGCGGCCGAUGCCUGAUUAGCUUGUUGGUGGGGUAAAAGCCCACCAAGGCGACGAUCAGUAGCUGGUCUGAGAGGACGGUCAGCCACACUGGGACAGAGACACGGCCCAGACUCCUACGGGAGGCAGCAGUGGGGAAUUUUGGACAAUGGGGGCAACCCUGAUCCAGCAAUGCCGCGUGAGUGAAGAAGGCCUUCGGGUUGUAAAGCUCUUUUGUCAGGGAAGAAACACCGGCUCUAACACAGUCCGGGAAUGACGGUACCUGAAGAAUAAGCACCGGCUAACUACGUGCCAGCAGCCGCCGUAA
rnacentral:rRNA from 1 species